rnacentral:misc_RNA from 1 species
ACCGAAGAAGGUGACUUUCAGAUUAAAUUUCGUAAUCUGAAACGCUUCCUUGAAGACGGUGACAAGGUUAAAAUGACGCUUCGAUUCCGUGGGCGCGAAAUGGCGCACCAGGAUAUAGGCCUACGCCUUUUCCAACGGGUUGAAGAAGAACUGGGUGAUACCGUGGUGAUCGAAUCCCGCCCUCGUCUCGAAGGCAGGCAGAUGGUCAUGAUGAUGGCACCCAAGAAAAAGUGAUCCCCUGUCACUUGUAAAGCCCAAGCCGGUUGCUCGACAACCGGUUUUAAUGCUUUACAGACAGGUCAAUUUCCGGGCCUGGAUCCUGCCCA